GUAAUACUCUCUCCGUCCGAAAAAAGUUUGUCCCUUAAAUGGAUGUAUCUAGCACCAACUUGGUGCUAGAUACAUCCAUUUGAGGGACAAUCUUGGGACAAGCUUUUUCGCACAGAGGGAGUAUAUG
rfam:Triticum aestivum genome assembly, contig: Triticum_aestivum_CS42_TGACv1_scaffold_224730_3B